rnacentral:rRNA from 1 species
UACGAAGGGGGGCUAGCGUUGUUCGGAUUUACUGGGCGUAAAGCGCACGUAGGCGGAUCGAUCAGUCAGGGGUGAAAUCCCAGGGCUCAACCCUGGAACUGCCUUUGAUACUGUCGAUCUGGAGUAUGGAAGAGGUGAGUGGAAUUCCGAGUGUAGAGGUGAAAUUCGUAGAUAUUCGGAGGAACACCAGUGGCGAAGGCGGCUCACUGGUCCAUUACUGACGCUGAGGUGCGAAAGCGUGGGGAGCAAACAGGG